rnacentral:rRNA from 1 species
GGGUCAGUAGGUUGGUCGUGCCACCCGUACGUACUGGUCUCACUGAUUCCUCCUUCCUGAAGAACCGUAAUGCCAUUAAUUUGGUGUUGCGGGGAAACAGGACUGUUACUUUGAAAAAAUUAGAGUGUUUAAAGCAAGCUAACGCUUGAAUGCAUUAGCAUGGAAUAAUGAAAUAGGACGAUCGAUCCUAUUUUGUUGGUUUCUAGGAUUGACGUA